rnacentral:rRNA from 1 species
UGGGGAAUAUUGCACAAUGGGCGCAAGCCUGAUGCAGCCAUGCCGCGUGUAUGAAGAAGGCCUUCGGGUUGUAAAGUACUUUCAGCGGGGAGGAAGGUGUUGUGGUUAAUAACCACAGCAAUUGACGUUACCCGCAGAAGAAGCACCGGCUAACUCCGUGCCAGCAGCCGCGGUAAUACGGAGGGUGCAAGCGUUAAUCGGAAUUACUGGGCGUAAAGCGCACGCAGGCGGUGUGUCAAGUCGGAUGUGAAAUCCCCGGGCUCAACCUGGGAACUGCAUCCGAAACUGGCAGGCUUGAGCCUUGUAGAGGGGGGUAGAAUUCCAGGUGUAGCGGUGAAAUGCGUAGAGAUCUGGAGGAAUACCGGUGGCGAAGGCGGCCCCCUGGACAAAGACUGACGCUCAGGUGCGAAAGCGUGGGGAGCAAACA